CUUCAGUGAUGAUACGAUGGCGAGUCGGAACGGGGCGCAGUCGGCCUCUGGGGGUCACUGGGUCAGGGUCACGUUCUGUGUCUAAGUUCAGUUCCCCAGGGCAGAGUGUUCUUCAGUUGAUGACAUCGAGCCAUUUGUCUGAGAAGG
rnacentral:snoRNA from 1 species